rnacentral:antisense_RNA from 1 species
UGUGGGAGCGAGCUUGCUCGCGAUGGCGGUGGGUCAGCCAUAUUGCUGUCGACUGACACUCCGCUAUCGCGAGCAAGCUCGCUCCCACA